rnacentral:rRNA from 1 species
GUACUUUCAGUCGUGAGGAAGGCGGCGUCGUUAAUAGCGGCGUUGUUUGACGUUAGCGACAGAAGAAGCACCGGCUAACUCCGUACCAGCAGCCGCGGUAAUACGGAGGGUGCGAGCGUUAAUCGGAAUUACUGGGCGUAAAGCGCAUGCAGGUGGUUUGUUAAGUCAGAUGUGAAAGACCCGGGGCGUCAACCUCGGAAUUGCAUUUGAAACUAGGCAGACUAGAGUACUGUAGAGGGGGGUAGGAAUUUCAGGUGUAGCGGUGAAAUAGCGUAGAGAUCUGAAGGAAUACCGGUGGCGAAGGCGGCCCCCUCGGACAGAUACUGACACUCAGAUGCGAAAGCGUGGGGAGCAAACAGGAUUAGAUACCCUGGUAG